GUAGGGUGCGAGCGUUAAUCGGAAUUACUGGGCGUAAAGCGUGCGCAGGCGGUCUUGUAAGACAGGUGUGAAAUCCCCGGGCUUAACCUGGGAACUGCACUUGUGACUGCAAGGCUGGAGUACGGCAGAGGGGGAUGGAAUUCCGCGUGUAGCAGUGAAAUGCGUAGAUAUGCGGAGGAACACCGAUGGCGAAGGCAAUCCCCUGGGCCUGUACUGACGCUCAUGCACGAAAGCGUGGGGAGCAAAC
rnacentral:rRNA from 1 species